AGCGGACAGAUGGGAGCUUGCUCCCUGAUGUUAGCGGCGGACGGGUGAGUAACACGUGGGUAACCUGCCUGUAAGACUGGGAUAACUCCGGGAAACCGGGGCUAAUACCGGAUGCUUGUUUGAACCGCAUGGUUCAGACAUAAAAGGUGGCUUCGGCUACCACUUACAGAUGGACCCGCGGCGCAUUAGCUAGUUGGUGAGGUAACGGCUCACCAAGGCGACGAUGCGUAGCCGACCUGAGAGGGUGAUCGGCCACACUGGGACUGAGACACGGCCCAGACUCCUACGGGAGGCAGCAGUAGGGAAUCUUCCGCAAUGGACGAAAGUCUGACGGAGCAACGCCGCGUGAGUGAUGAAGGUUUUCGGAUCGUAAAGCUCUGUUGUUAGGGAAGAACAAGUGCCGUUCAAAUAGGGCGGCACCUUGACGGUACCUAACCAGAAAGCCACGGCUAACUACGUGCCAGCAGCCGCGGUAAUACGUAGGUGGCAAGCGUUGUCCGGAAUUAUUGGGCGUAAAGGGCUCGCAGGCGGUUUCUUAAGUCUGAUGUGAAAGCCCCCGGCUCAACCGGGGAGGGUCAUUGGAAACUGGGGAACUUGAGUGCAGAAGAGGAGAGUGGAAUUCCACGUGUAGCGGUGAAAUGCGUAGAGAUGUGGAGGAACACCAGUGGCGAAGGCGACUCUCUGGUCUGUAACUGACGCUGAGGAGCGAAAGCGUGGGGAGCGAACAGGAUUAGAUACCCUGGUAGUCCACGCCGUAAACGAUGAGUGCUAAGUGUUAGGGGGUUUCCGCCCCUUAGUGCUGCAGCUAACGCAUUAAGCACUCCGCCUGGGGAGUACGGUCGCAAGACUGAAACUCAAAGGAAUUGACGGGGGCCCGCACAAGCGGUGGAGCAUGUGGUUUAAUUCGAAGCAACGCGAAGAACCUUACCAGGUCUUGACAUCCUCUGACAAUCCUAGAGAUAGGACGUCCCCUUCGGGGGCAGAGUGACAGGUGGUGCAUGGUUGUCGUCAGCUCGUGUCGUGAGAUGUUGGGUUAAGUCCCGCAACGAGCGCAACCCUUGAUCUUA
rnacentral:rRNA from 1 species